GAGAUACUAGUAAAAUAUAUUACACUGCCUUGUCAAGACAGAAUCGUGAGUUUAAACCUCACGUGUCUUU
rnacentral:tRNA from 1 species